ensembl:lncRNA
AUGCUGAUGAGCUUCUCUCAGGUUCGAGAAAUGAUGCACAUAUUUAUUCACACCUUUUUUUAAUUAAGUGAAGUGAACCAAUUCUAUUACAUAUUUGAUUAUUGACCCAAUAUUAUUUAGAUUCUGCUGUUUGCUUAUAUAUUAACAGUCUGUUCUCCUUUUUUAGCAAAAGAGUUCAAGACUGCAUAUUAUGAUGAUGUCACUAAUGACAGUGGCCUAAAAGGUCAGGGACGUUUUUAAUUGAUCACAUAAUUCAUCACCAACUGAUUAAUAAAUUCACGAUCUGCCAAAAGAACAUAGUUUGGUUUUGUAUCCAAACAUAUUGUGUGUUGAUGCAGAAGAGAUGGUGAAGGAAAUCACACCGGGACACUAUGAUGAUGUCAUCACUGAUGGACUGAAACCAGAUCGUGAGACAGAAGACACACCUGAGAGCUAUGAUGAUGUCAUGACUAGUGGACUUAACUCUGAUAUCAGAAAAGUGGACACACCAGAGAAUUAUGAUGAUGUCAUCAUUAAUAGACCGAGCUCUCAAGGGGUAACAGAGGGAGUUCAAGAGGAGUAUGAUGAUGUCAUGAGUGUCAGUGAAGAUGUGACAAACAUGUUGAGUAAGUUACUAUAACACUUUUGUUCUCAUAUUAACAUCUUUAUUUAGAUUUAAUAUUUUUUAUAUUUUUCCAGUUGUUUAGACUUCAAAUAUUUAUUCAGUUACGGUAUUUGACAUGAUUUAAGAUUUUGUUUUUAAUAACAGAUUAUGAUGAUGUGGAGGAGGAGUCAAACAAAGAAGGGGGUCAUUUGGCUCAAUGAUGUCAUCCACUGCUUCGGUUCAACACAUCUGAACAAAUGCUGAGUUAUUGAUAUAUCGAUAUUAUUAUUGAUAUGUCAAAUCUCAGGUUUUUUUAAUUUUUCCCCAUUUUUCGUAUUAAAUCUGUUAUGCCUUUGUGGAUUUUGUUGGAUUUUUUGGCCUUGUUAAUAGCAAAAAAAUAUAUAUAUAUAUAAUAAAAAUAAUAAUUUUUUGUAUGUCA